rnacentral:rRNA from 1 species
AGCGAACGCUGGCGGCAGGCUUAACACAUGCAAGUCGAACGGUCCUUCGGGAUAGUGGCGGACGGGUGAGUAACACGUGGGAACGUACCCUUAGGUUCGGAACAACACAGGGAAACUUGUGCUAAUACCGGAUAAGCCCUUCGGGGGAAAGAUUUAUCGCCUUUGGAGCGGCCCGCGUCUGAUUAGCUUGUUGGUGAGGUAAUGGCUCACCAAGGCUACGAUCAGUAGCUGGUCUGAGAGGAUGGCCAGCCACACUGGGACUGAGACACGGCCCAGACUCCUACGGGAGGCAGCAGUGGGGAAUCUUGCGCAAUGGGCGAAAGCCUGACGCAGCCAUGCCGCGUGGUUGAUGAAGGUCUUAGGAUUGUAAAAUCCUUUCACCGGGGACGAUAAUGACGGUACCCGGAGAAGAAGCCCCGGCUAACUUCGUGCCAGCCGCCGCGGUAA